rnacentral:lncRNA from 1 species
GAGUGGAGCACUCAUACAGGACAUCCUUGGUGUCUCAAGUCUAAGGACCAAAUACACCACUAGGACUACGGAAUCGCUGUCUGACAAUAAGGCAUCAUCAACCAUCCAGCAUUCCGUAAGCGGAUCAAUCAAUGAACUCAUUCUCCAAUGAGCACCUGUAUUGUAUCCCUAGUGUCCCUACACGAGCAACUAUGAGACCAGCUGCAUCCAUCAUAUAGACGGGUAUACAACACACUAGUCUGUCCGGUUAUCACGAUGUCCC